GGGCAGUCGCGGGCCGUGACCGCUGCCGGGCUCCGGGGCGUUCCGGUGCAGCCGGCGAUCGCUGCGCGGUUCCUUCCGCUCCGCUGCCAGCGCUGGUGGUGCUACGCAGCCACACGCCCUCGGCGUCCACCCCUCCGCGGCCUUCCCGUCACGCCGCAGAGGCCUUUGCCGAGGGCACGUCCGGUCCCCGCCGGCACCGCGGGUGGCGGUGUCGUUCCGCUCAUGCCUGCGGCCGCCAUCUCCUUCCUGACACCCCCUGGGCCUGGCGCCCCUGCCCAGCCCGGAGAGAGCGAGUUUCCAGCACGGGCACCAGGAGGUGGCUUUGCCUAUCUUUGGAGGCAGCCGGAGGAGGUGGCUGGUAACCGGAGAACAGGCUAAAGAUGGACACAGCAGCUCAGCAGCUGACAGGACCCGGCGCCUGCAUUAUCUCGAGAAGCAUUUCUGUCCUGCCCCUGCACCCAGCAGAGGGGAUGGGCACUGCAGGCUGGGCAGAGGACCUCCAGCACCCACCGUCCUACCAGCACCUGGCAUGGAGGCACUGGCAGCACCCCAGUGCUCAUACUCAGCUCAGGGCAACCUGUGACUCCUCUUGACCAACAGCUCUCAGUUUCUUCAACAGUUAUAGAAGCAGCUAAAAAUUUCCUGAAAAAGAAGGGAAAUGACUUCCCAGAGUCACAGGGCGAAACCUGUGCUGACCUUCCCCAGCCUCGAAAGCACCAUCAUCUGCUUGACAGAGGCAACAGCAGACCAAAGCAGUACACAUGGCUAAUAUGUCCUUUGAUGCAUGGUCUUGUGCAACCCAGGGAUGAAGAUAAUUGUCAUCACAGAAGAAGAGCACAAAAUGUUACAUGGGUCCCCUGUACCCAGGAGGCUCCCUGCACCCAUUCUGGGACCCAAAGGUUUUCCUUUACAAAACUCUUCAGAUCAAAGGUUUUACUUAAUUUCUGCAAGCAUCUGCAACAAAUACUCUUUUCUUUUUGUUGUUCCUAUUUGGGGGACAGCUGGACACCUCCGUUUCCUGGGCACUGUCCUGACCUGCCAGAGCACACAGCACCAGGAGAGCAUUUCUGCUCAGAAAUUUGGUUUGACAUAAGCCCUUGGCACUACCAGACAGGGCAAAGGACAAGUCAUGGAGAUAGCAGCUGCCCAGGGAGUCUCUUGGGAGGGGAACCCACAGGGCACACUGUGGCUGGUGUAACCCCGUUCCCAUCCCAUGAUGUUGGUUUAAUUUAGUUAAUCCCCCUACAACAGCCUGCAGGAUCUGCUGCCACCCAAGGGGAUCUCCAAAGUCCAGAGUUAGGAUGAACCCUUGGUUCUGGAGGUCGCCAGGGAGAUGACUUCAGACUCAUUUUGCACUGCACUGCUGCUCACCUCCAGCUCAGUUCUGCCAUCCCCACCUUGCAAUGCCAUCGCCAGCAGCAACGUCAGGCUGUUCUCUGUCAUCUUGUUAGCAAGGAAGACAGCCCCGCAGGAGGCAAGGACAUGUACCACAAUCACCACCAGGCCUCCUCAGACCUGGGUAGCCUGUGGGUAAACCCACAUCCACCCAAAAGCUAGAAGGGAAACAUGAGGGCACUGGGGAACUGUCAUGCCAGCAUGAACGACAUGGUUUCAGGCUGAUACCUCCCUCGAAGGUCUGCAGUGCCUCAAGACACAACAAAUGACACAGCAGUCCCAAAGGCUGGCAGCAGGGCUGCAGCUGUCGCCAUCCCAGUGCCAGCGAGAACCGGGAGCUUGCGUUACCGCGCACGCUGGGAGCAAACACCACGAGGAUGCUGUGGCUGACUCGCACAGCGAGGCUUGUCCUCGCAGAGGGACCAGCAGGUACAUGGGCGGCCGCAGCUGAGCAGAGCCCCCUCAGCACCAGAGGAGCAGCAGCCUGCAGCCCACAGCAGCACUGCUCUGCCCUCGCUCCUCCGCUGCUCCACUGCAAAGGUCUGUGGGGAAUGAGGCUCGAAAGACAGAACCUACCAGGAGCACAGCACAGUGACAAAGGGUAGAUUGGGGUAUCCACAGCUCUCAGCACAGGGGAGGCUCCCCAGGGAGGACAAGGUGAUGGGGUGCAGCCUGGGAGACAGUUAUGAGACAUACACCAUGAAACAGAGAUGAGCCCCAGGGGAAAUCUUUGGGCACCCUGUGCCAGCGCCUCACCACCCUCAUGGGGAAGAAUUUCUGCCUAAGAGCUCAUCUCAGUCUCCCCUCUGGCAGGUUAAAACCAGCAAGGAAUGGGGCAGCAGAGAAUUAAAAAUAAAGCCUC